GUGCCCACUUCCACAGCACAUAUACUAAAAUACAGGGAAGACUAGCAUGGCCCUUGUGUGAGGAUGACACAAAAUUGUGAAGUACUACAUAUUUUU
rnacentral:snRNA from 1 species